UAAUGGACCACUAUGCAAUUAUUUAAAAUGGUGCUGUGAGUAUUUUGUCAUUGAAAUGGCUACAAACAUUGAAAUGGCUAAAUUAACUGGAAACAGGGUUUAAAAGAAUACAUACAGUUUGUAACAGGCGAGGUCCUUCAGAGCAGAUGAUGGAGAGACCAUGGGUAGGAGGGGAAGCAAUUAGGGAUAAACGUCUAUGAAAGCAAGCAAGCAAAAGUGGGCUUGGGUAGAGGGAAAAGUCAAACCAUAAUGCAGGGCUAACAAAACCUCAGCCAGCUGACAGGGACUCCAGAACAAGCAGGAUCCAUCAGAGUUAGCUGGGUCAACACCAGGUGACCAGAUCUUUAUACCCAUACCUCUCCCAGGCACAGGAAGGUGCUGCCAGGGAAGAGCCUGACCUCAGGAGGCAUCUGCAGCCGAAGCCAACUGCUGAAACUCAUAACCUGGGGCUGUCCACUAAACAAACUCCUCCCAGGUGAGUGACAAGUCCUCCUUGAUAGGUAGUAGACAUCUCUGCAUGCACCACACCAUAUAUCUUUGUGUUUUCAGAAAACAAAUGACACCUAUCUACACCCAUGGGGAAAAAAAUCUGAAGAAAAAUAAACUGUUUUUGUAGAACAACUGCCAAAAAGUGAAGAGCCCUGGUGGUGGUUAAUUUCAUGUGUCAAUUCACCUGGCCAUGGGGUGCCCACAUUAAACAUUGUUUCUGCAUGUGUCUGGGAACAUGUGUGUUUCUGGAUUAGAUUUACAUUGGAAUCAGCAGACUCAGUGAAGUAGAUUGCCCUCCCCCAUGUGGGUGGGCAUCAUACAAUCCCUUCAGGGCCUUGCUGGAGCAAAAAGCAGAGGAAGGAGGAAUUCACCCCUUUUCUACCACAUUGCUUGAGCUAAGGCAUGUAUCUUCUGCCCUCAGGGCUCCUGGUUCACAGACCUUCAGACCUAGACUGGAAUCUGCACCAUUGGCUUCCUUGGUUCUCAGGCCUUGAGAGUCCAACUAAAUUACACCACCAGCUUUCCUGGGUCUCCAGUUUGCAGAUGGCAGAUCUUGGGAUUCUGCAAACUCCAUAAUUAAGUAAGCAUCUGACUCUUGAUUUGGCUCAGGUCAUAAUCUCAUGGUUUGUGAGUUUGAGCCCCAGGUCAGGCUCUACGCACUGACAUCACGGACUCAGCUUGGGAUUCUCUCUCUCUCCCUUUCUCUGCCCCUCCCCAACUCACGUUCUCUCUGUCUCUCUCAAAAUAAACUAAAAACAACCCACAAAUUUGUUACCACACAAUCUGGAGGUCAGCAGUCUUAGACUUGUCUUACAAAACUAAAAUCAGUUGUCAGCAGGGCUGUGUU
rnacentral:lncRNA from 1 species